UAAUCAACACCAUGCAAAUCAAAACAUUGACUACCAGACAUUGUGUGCAGCCUAAACCUGUCUUGCAUGCCUACAACGUUAUCUAAGUCCUCCUAGGCAAGGUGAAAGAAGUCUGCAGUUAGCUCUACCACCCGCAUGCUUUGGAGCAGGGAUUUGAAGAGAUGUGCCUUUGGCCAUCCCUGUGAAACUGCCUACAUUUGGCUGGAUGAUAAGCCGUUCUAAAAAGGCAAUUUGCGCAUGUUCAGUAGAGGCUUCUUCAAUUUUUAGCAUCUAAAAUCUCCAAAGAGUCAUCCUCACUGAGCAUACUCGAGCCGCUGAGAGCUUGUCAUGCGGAUGAGACUGAGCAGACGCCGGCUGAAUGGACACUGCUACCAAAGUUCUCCGAUCAGCAGCCCAGGAAAAGCACGUGCACCUACAGCGAAGCACCCAGAGGGACGGUACUCGAAGAAGAAUCAGAAACUGCAGCUGCCUGUGCUUUCUCAACAAGUCUUGCUUAACCAUUUUGUUAACUAUCGACCACUGACUCCAUCUUGGCUGGCAUU